rnacentral:lncRNA from 1 species
AUAGCCGUUGCGAGGGGGAACUCCGCCUCGGAGAGAGAGUGUUAGUGGUAGGACAGAGACUGGGCACCAUUAGGUUCUUUGGGACAACAAACUUCGCUCCAGAGUAACAGAUUCCCUGGAUACCCUUUCAGAAAUUUCUUCAAAUAAACAGAACCAUUCUUAUCCUGGUUUUAGGAGAAGUUUUAGCACAACUUCUGCUUCUUCCCAAAAGGAGAUUAACAGAAGAAAUGCUUUUUCCAAGUGAGUAUUAAGAAGAUUUAGAAAAACACCUUUCAAGAUGAACAUGAUGGGAUUCUGUGAAGAAAGAAAAGUGGAGUGCUGUAUCUUUUGCAUUGCUUGGUAGAGUUUUAACACGUAGGAGAAAAGGUGUGAUAAGUGUAUUGAGAAGCGUUCUUCCUCCCUCCUUUGCAAGCGCAAUUAAAAAUGUCACCAGUGA